UUUCCCGUAAAGCUUAGAACC
rnacentral:miRNA from 1 species